GAUGAAGAACGCAGCGAAAUGCGAUACUUGGUGUGAAUUGCAGAAUCCCGUGAACCAUCGAGUCUUUGAACGCAAGUUGCGCCCGAAGCCUCGGCUAAGGGCACGUCUGCCUGGGCGUCACGCAUCGCGUCUCCCCCAAACCGCCAAGGCGGAGGGGAAGGAAGAUGGCUUCCCGUGCCUCACCCGGGCGCGGUUGGCCUAAAUUUGGAGCCCGCGGCACUUAGCUCUCGCGGCGAUAGGUGGUGAACAAGGCCUUGGCCGUGCAAACAACCCGCUGCGAAGCUCUAUGUCACGUGCGCUCGUCGGACCCUUUGAAGUUGCCUUCGAUGACUUAAAACCUUUGCGACCCCAGGUCAGGCGGGGCUACCCGCUGAAUUUAAGCAUAUCAAUAAGCGGAGGA
rnacentral:misc_RNA from 1 species